rnacentral:lncRNA from 1 species
CAACAAUCACUCUCCCAAAGGAAGACUGCCCAUGGACAAGCAAGGACAAGCAAGAGCUAGGACACUGUCUCCCGACAAGAGGAAGGUUCAAGCAGGGGGGAGGGGGCUAAGCUCUCUCAGAAACCAUUCUUUUAAGUUCCUCACCAAUUACAUGAGUGUCUCACACCUGAGAGAGUAGGCUACUAUUGUCAUUAAAUUAAAUUCUCACUGCU